UAGCUAAUCCUGGUCGGACAUCAGGAGGUUAGUGCAAUGGCAUAAGCUAGCUUGACUGCGAGCGUGACGGCGCGAGCAGGUGCGAAAGCAGGUCAUAGUGAUCCGGUGGUUCUGAAUGGAAGGGCCAUCGCUCAACGGAUAAAAGGUACUCCGGGGAUAACAGGCUGAUACCGCCCAAGAGUUCAUAUCGACGGCGGUGUUUGGCACCUCGAUGUCGGCUCAUCACAUCCUGGGGCUGAAGUAGGUCCCAAGGGUAUGGCUGUUCGCCAUUUAAAGUGGUACGCGAGCUGGGUUUAGAACGUCGUGAGACAGUUCGGUCCCUAUCUGCCGUGGGCGCUGGAGAAUUGAGGGGGGCUGCUCCUAGUACGAGAGGACCGGAGUGGACGCAUCACUGGUGUUCGGGUUG
rnacentral:rRNA from 1 species